UUAACGUUUUAAAAAGCCAAAGUAACGUGUAAAAUGAUGAGUGAUGAUGACUGUUCCAUUUCUGGAACCCCCCCAGAACUCACGGAGGCAGUGAAUGCUGCAUCAUUGGAAUUGUUACCAGUAAAAUCUAGAAAUAAGUAUAACUAUGCAUACAACCGCUUCAUGGACUACCGUACGAAUAAAAAUGUAACUUCUUUCUCGGAAAAUGUUGUAAUGGCGUACUUCUUGGAGCUUGGUUCCAAGAUGAAAUCUUCAACUUUAUGGGCCAAUUAUUCAAUGCUGCAGGCAACCCUUGCAAUUAGACAUGAUGUGGAUAUAUCUAAAUAUUCAAAACUUCGGGCAUUCCUGAAACGGCAAGCACAUGCCUAUAAGCCAAAAAAAUCCAAGAUUUUAACUAAAGAAGAAAUAAAGAAAUUUAUUCAGGAAGCUCCAGAUAAGGAAUAUUUAAUGAUUAAGGUAGCUGUAAUAUUUGGAAUUUCCGGAGCUUGCAGAAUGGACGAGCUGGUUAAAAUGACUGUACAAGAUAUACAAGACCUACUAUCUAAACUUUUAGUUACCAUACCGGAUUCAAAAACCAAUACAUCAAGAUCAUUUAUAGUAAACGAAAUGUACUUAAAUCUAUACCGCAAGUAUGUCUCUUUAAGACCAAGAGACAUGAAUACCACUCGGUUUUUUUUUAAGUACCAAAAUGAAAAAGGUUGUAGCAAGUAGUAGGAAUUCACCAAUUUAGAAACAUGCCUAAAAUAGUGGCCAGUUAUUUGAAUUUGCCAAACUCGAAAGAAUAUACCGGCCACUGUUUUCGUCGGUCUUCUGCCACAAUGCUUGUUGAUUCUGGUGGAGAUAUUACUAGUUUAAAGAGACUGGGUGGAUGGAAAUCAACAAACGUCGCUGAAGGAUAUAUAGAAGAGUCUCUUACUAAUAAGGAAGAAGUGGCAAAUAAAAUUUUCACAGCAGAAAAAAAUCAAGAAAGUAAAUCUAAUAUUUCUAAUACUGCAGUAACGUCCAAUAUUAGUUAU